rnacentral:rRNA from 1 species
GACGAACGCUGGCGGCGUGCUUAACACAUGCAAGUCGAACGGAAAGGCCCUGCUUUUGUGGGGUGCUCGAGUGGCGAACGGGUGAGUAACACGUGAGUAACCUGCCCUUGACUUUAGGAUAACUUCAGGAAACUGGGGCUAAUACCGGAUAGGAGCUCCUGCUGCAUGGUGGGGGUUGGAAAGUUUCGGCGGUUGGGGAUGGACUCGCGGCUUAUCAGCUUGUUGGUGGGGUAGUGGCUUACCAAGGCUUUGACGGGUAGCCGGCCUGAGAGGGUGACCGGCCACAUUGGGACUGAGAUACGGCCCAGACUGCUACGGGAGGCAGCAGUGGGGAAGAUUGCACAAUGGGCGGAAGCCUGAUGCAGCAACGCCGCGUGCGGGAUGACGGCCUUCGGGUUGUAAACCGCUUUCGCCUGUGACGAAGCGUGAGUGACGGUAAUGGGUAAAGAAGCACCGGCUAACUACGUG